GCCUUCGUAGUGUAACGGUAGCACACUCGGCAAGUAUUCGAGAGGUCCAGGUUCGAAUCCCGGUGAGGGCA
rnacentral:tRNA from 1 species